GAGCCUGUUUCCAUUGUUUGCUCUUGUAUUUUUUUGACUGAUUUUGGUUUGCAAACCAAAAUCAGUCAAAAAAAUACAAGAGCAACAUCAGUACGAAA
rnacentral:miRNA from 1 species